rnacentral:misc_RNA from 1 species
UUGAAUUGUAAAAAUGGGGAGUUGCUUUCGAGCACUCCUCUACAUUUUCAUUAUCCUAACACCUGUGAAUCGUUGCUGAGUUCGCUCAGUGGCACCUUUUUUACACACACUUUAUAGUUUAGAACGUAAAAUAUACAAAACAAAUAUA